GAUGAACGCUGGCGGCGUGCCUAAUACAUGCAAGUCGAGCGAACAGACGAGGAGCUUGCUCCUCUGACGUUAGCGGCGGACGGGUGAGUAACACGUGGAUAACCAACCUAUAAGACUGGGAUAACUUCGGGAAACCGGAGCUAAUACCGGAUAAUAUAUUGAACCGCAUGGUUCAAUAGUGAAAGACGGUUUUGCUGUCACUUAUAGAUGGAUCCGCGCCGCAUUAGCUAGUUGGUAAGGUAACGGCUUACCAAGGCGACGAUGCGUAGCCGACCUGAGAGGGUGAUCGGCCACACUGGAACUGAGACACGGUCCAGACUCCUACGGGAGGCAGCAGUAGGGAAUCUUCCGCAAAGGGCGAAAGCCUGACGGAGCAACGCCGCGUGAGUGAUGAAGGUCUUCGGAUCGUAAAACUCUGUUAUUAGGGAAGAACAAAUGUGUAAGUAACUAUGCACGUCUUGACGGUACCUGAUCAGAAAGCCACGGCUAACUACGUG
rnacentral:rRNA from 1 species